CCUACUCCGCCCCUCCCGCGUGCAAACUAGGCGCCCCACCCGCCCCUGACCUUCCUAGGCCCCUCCUCUGGCUCCGCCUCUUCCCGAGAUGGGACCCCCAAACACACCCCGGGGGGCUCUCUCCACACCCCAAGAGUCCUAUCUGUGCCUCCUGAGUCCAAGUUCACCCAAGUGGUGAGUUUUUACGGACUCCCUUCCUCGCUUGGAAGAGACCUUCUUUGGCUACCCGCCCCCUGUCCGGUGGCUCCGACGUGGCUACUUUGCAGGAUGGGCUGUAUAAAGGGCUAGAGGCAGAUCUACCCAAACCAGAGACGUGGCGUCUGCUAGGCGGGCCUAGGCUCCAGGAAGUGAUCAACUCACCAAGUUCUAAACAACAUAUAGGGUUGCUAAGAGGGAGAGUUACAGGAUAAAGAAAGACAGAAAAGUACCUGACUAAAGCCCAGAGAAGGGAGCAAGAAGGAGCUGAAGAGAGCGUGGCCCCCAGGAGACAUGAAGACACAGCUGUAGACCACGGUUCGCUUUCCUGGGAAGGUUCCCUAACCAUGGACUCUAAGAUGUAGCAAGACUUAUUAUUCAGUGAUUAAAAAAUGAAAGAAAGAAAA